ensembl:lncRNA
ACAUUUGUCCUAUAUCUUUUGAAGACGGCAAUGAGUCUAAUCACACGCGCCAGUAUUGGUUUGUUCAUAUGUUAGAACCAAAUAUGUUAGGCAGAUAUUUAUGUAAUUUGGAGCGAUGAUUAACUAAAAUAAAACCAAUUAUAAAGCAUAAACAUCCACCCGGUUAUACAGUUGACCAGAUGCCAAUCAAGUAUUACAAUUAUAAUUAGUAUUAAUUAUAACAUGAAAGGAUAAUAUAAUUCAAUAUAAGUGGAAAUACAAUAUGCAACAUUAUAUUCGGUAGAAUACAAUACAAUUAAAUGUCUAAUGUCUUCUAAGUGAAGCCUGAGUAUUAAUAUAAGGCGUGCUGCUUAAAUUGUAAUUCAAAACGAUGAUUCUUUAAAAUAAACACCGAAAGAGUUACAUCAAAUAAACAUAAUUUAAUCAGGCCACAUCAAGGAAACACGUGGAAUCUGAUAACCAUGUAUUCUGCACAUAUGAUCCCUGAGUAUGUUGAGUAGAAAACCGAACCGGCCAACAACAGCCGAGGCAGUCAGUCACGCGCACGAUGCCAGGCGGUGUCAUUCCACAACACGGCAUGUUUUGCGCACGCACACGCCAACACACACACACACAAACACACACACACACACACACACACCGGCUCAAACACACAUUAACAUAGCCUAUACACACCAACACACACACACGGCUUCUCCUCUCCGCCGCUCUCAAACUUACUUUCAGUUUGGGAGUCCUCUCGUUUUGAUUGACAGAAACCUGAAGAGCCGUUUCUCCCAACUUCCUCCGUGUCCUCCUCUCGCCUCACCCUGCGACGACGCCUCCGCCCGGCCGUUAAAACGCCAAACCCGGCACCGUCGGUGUGCGACCUUCUCUUCCCCCCCCCAUCCAUGCCGCCCAAUCUGCCGCUAGUCCCCGCGCGGAUCCCAUCCGGCAGCCGGCUCGCUUUAUCCGGCGUGCAGCCGCGCGGAGCCCCGCUGCCUGUGUGGAGCUCCGCUGUCUUCUUUCCCGCUCGCCCUGCGACAAGAAAAGCCGUUUAUGGCGACACACAAUGUGAAAAGGGGGCCGAUUUAAAAAGGAGAAGAAUGCAAGCAAGAACAACAAAAGUCAGUUAUAGCAAAGUCUAUGCCUCUCCUCUCCUAUCUUCCACCCCCUAGCUUAGCCCACAUAAUGAGCAGGAAAAAAGCUUUAUAUUUUGUUCACUGGGUAUUCACAGAUAAUUUGAAGCCAUUGUUUCUGCCACAGAUGGUUCUUUUUAAUACAAUAACGGUGCUCUUUGUGAAUAGCGAACCCACAAUAAAAAUCUAAAGCGUCCUCCUGAAUAACCAUUUUGUUCUCUCUUGUAUAGGCCGAACAAAAGCGCCAGUGAGGUAAUGGCCUGCCUUAUUGAAAGCCUCAGAAUGGGAAUUUGAUAAAGAUUUUUUUCCGCUCCUUUUUCCUUUUGAACAAAGUACAUGCCAAUGUCAAAAAGAAACUGACACGGCACAAAGACGAAAAAGCCCCCCCAAAAAAGCAUGCUGUUGCAAGUUGCAACAAUUAUUACUAUCACUAUAAUUACUUACAUUUCUUAACUUGCAAAGUGCAAAAGUCAGAGGUGAAAGGUGGUUUUGCGGGGCUGCAGCAGAGCAGGUCAGGUGCAGGCGUUAUGGGUCUUACAAUGGAGCUUAAAUUCUGAAUACAUUAGCUUCCAAAGGUCUGCUGUGGAUUUGGCACAGUCUCAUAAUUUUGCAUCGGGGUGAGUCAACUUGUGCCUGAUAGAAUUAAGUAUUCAGGGCGCACACCAUCGGCGUCUUGCAGAAACCUCCUGUUUCUAAUUCUACCCUUUUCAUUACAAUGGCCGGCAAAUAUUGCAUGCCCUUAAAGCGAUGAUAAGGCACUGUGAAAUGUCAUAAAUGCAUGGCUGUUAAUAGGGCGGGUAACCUAAUGUAACCUGCUGGUUGAGAUGCACGCCUGCAGGGAUGUGUGUGUGUGUGUGUGUGUGUGCGCGCAGUCAACAUGCAUUUGAUCCUGCGGCCAUGUAAGCCACCUCAAUCUGCCCACGCUUGAUGCAAUUUGUAAUUAACUCGCGGCUAAUCAAUAAAGCGUUUAACAGAAAGCACAAUGGACAUACAGGGGAUGAUCCUAAGCCAAACAUAUUGGAUGUCAGUGAUCGUUACAAGGUGAGGACACCUUGUCCAUCACAGGGCGGGAGGGUGAGGCGGUGGGUGGGUGCAGCAGGAGAAGAUAGGUGUGCUGGAUGAGGGGAUGAGUGGUGAGGAGGUGCGAUAGAUGAAUGGAGGGAAAGGAGAGAAGGGCAGAGAGGGAAUAAAGGGGGGGGGGGUGGGGGGGAGAAUAAUAGAGGACAGGAGAGGUGAGAAAGAAUUCCAUUUCAACUCGCCUGGCAUAGUUCAUGGAGCUAUGCAGUUUGAAAAAAAACACACACAGAAUCAGUUUCCUACAACAACCACUAUUCCUCAGUGUCAGCCAUGUACCAAUCACAUGUAUCAACACCUGCACACAUGCAGUGGAUUAUGAACAAGGACCCGCAUCUAACAACAGCUUGCAUUAAACGAAAAAUAAAAUUGGAAAAUGUCAGUAACAUAUAUUUUGGAUUAAGCAGGUCAUAAUGUGAGAAAAGAGAGAAACAGAGAGUCGCUGCUGAAAGGGCUUAGCAGAAGAAGAAAUAUGUCUUUGCACUUUAUCUGAUCAAUCUGUGCCAUGCAGUCUGAAUCACAGACAUAGCACUCAUAGCAUUAGAGAGCUGGAUAACCUUUAAUUAUGAAACCAUUCAGUCUGAAUGUGAAAGCACAAGUCCAGUAGCCCCAUGUGAGCCUUUAGAAACCACGGCAUUAUCACUGGAUGCUUUGAAUCUGAACACACACACACACACUCACACACAUAAGCAUUUCCAUAUGCAUGUGAGUGGACACAUUUGUCGCAUCUGUUUUGUGUGUUUUCUCGCACAUCGGCCUAAUGGGAGAUCCAGUGGGCUCCCUCUGUGUUGUGUGUGUGUGUGUGUGUGAUACGGACACAUUGACACAGUAAUCAGUGGAAAUGGGGCACCGUACUGAGGGAGACGUGACCAGCAAACUGUCAAUCAUGUCACACGCAGCAAAAACACACCCAUUCAUUACCCUGCGAUACAGUAUUUCCCCUUGAGUAAUGUUAUUGAAUUUAGUACGGCACGAGCCUUUAAACGGCCACAGUUGAAGUUUAACCCUUUUACGGGACAUGCUCCGUCAAAUAAUUGAGUUCAAAGGUGGAUCAGUAUUAAGUUUUGCUACACAUGUGUAACUGGGAACCAAGAAAUUUUGAGUUUGCGACACUGAAACAGUAACCCGCCUGUGAUUGUCACAUCAGGAUGACAUCAUGCCCGGCUUUGCUCUACAAGGUUUUCGGCAUGGACGGCCAACUUUUCAAGGCAGACUUCAAAAUGCUGUGCGGUUAAAGACAGUAAAAAUGUCGACCACCUGAAGUGAGUUCGCUGAUCAGCCCUGGGGCUGUUUGUACAGGAACCCAAACACGCAGACGCAGCUGUCAGAUAUUCACAGAGCACCACUCGUCUCUGGCAUCUCAUUAAUGAAGAAUGCAUCCGUAACUGCUCAGACAGAGUGGACACAGACAUUCCAUUAGAAAAGCUACCCUGCUUUUCACUUAUGGUUCAUGCUGUUUGUGCGCCGCUGAGAAUGGAUAUUCAGAGGUCACCGACCUCUCAUCCUGUGCCACCAUUAGACAUUAAUAACGUUGAGUGGAUGAAGUAUCUCAACAACUGUUGGCCAUCAAAAUCGGUAUAGACAGUGACAUUCAAUUUAGUAGACGGCGUAAUAAAUGUGGUACUCCCGAUACUACAGAAAUCUGUGGUGCAUUUGCGCUGCAUUUGCACUUCCACUGGGAUGGAUAAUCAUCACAAUCUUUUACUAUGCUUGGUACAAAAUCGUGUGUGGGGGAGUUACUGACAUGUACACAAUAACAGGCACAUUUCACAAGAUACGAGUACAUUCCACCAUGAAAGCAAACUGAGAACCAACAAGAAUAUUUCUCUGCAGUGUUUUCUCAUAGAGAGAUAAGAGAUAAAACAGUCAGACCCUGCUGCAAUAAAAAUGAGUUUUCUAAAGGGAGUCUGGUGCUAAAAAAAAGUAGGCAGAAAGUAAAAGUUCCUUGCAGCAUCUUUAGGAUUAGACAUGAAAUUAGGCAGGACGUGAAUGCAGUCACAGACUUAGAUUACGAAGAAGAAAAUGUAUAAUGUGUAAAUACUUGAUUACUUGUACCAUUUAAAGACGACUUCAUUACAACCGAAGCAUCAUCAGUGACGGACGGAUACUGAUGGCUGCGUCAGAUUAUUUGAACAACACUGUAAUCGAGUUCAUCCGCCAACAUAUAACUCUGAUUAUCAUCACUGAAUUGAUCAAAAUGCUGUCUGUCUAUUUGACUGACAGCUAAUAAGUUUAAUACCGUCAUUACAGAUUACUUAAGAUUGACGAGAAUCAGAUACUUUGAUUGAUUGUUUAUAUCCGAUUUGAGCAUUUGGUGACAUUUCAGUGCUUAAUUAAGCCAAAAACAUCUGAUCAAAAAUCAGAUCAGCCAUAUGAAGACGACUAUGCUAAUAUAACUUACUCACUGAGCUGAUUGGUGGUUAUUCGUGAUGAUCAAGUGAGAUUAGCAGACUGCCUGAAAAGAAAACUCUUGUCAUUUGAGUGAAAAGAGCCUGUUACAAGCGGCUGCGUCUGGACAUUGAACGGAUCAGAAAACGGAAAACGUUUACGGCCAUCUUUCACAUGAGAAGAUUUAUAUGAGAAUUUCACAAGCAGCUCAUAAAGUAUGCAGAAACGCAUCGAGGUCCACGGGAAAAUAAAUCACGACUGUUUGCGUAAGUCGCGUGUGUGCGCAUGUGUCUCUGUGAGUAGGCAUGUGUGCGAAAGGUAAAGAAAGUGGGACAUUGCAGAGACACAAUAAGAAUAUUAACUUGGACGUAUAGUAUUAUGAACGCAUCAUAAAGCUGUGUGAGUAAUUUCAAAUUCUUGCAUUCAAUUUUCUCAUUUUAAAUGUUGGAGAACAUGUUUUCAUUUAGAAAAAAGCCUCCACCAACCAGAAAAAAGAAAAAAAAAUCACAAAUUUCAUAUAUCAAAAAAACUAAAUAAAAAAACAUAUAUUUUUGCUGGAGAACAAUGAAUUCGCAAUUACUUCCCAGGAGGCAUUUGUGACAUGUCACAGUAAGAAAGACACACGUGUAAAUAAUAACGUCAAUGAUGGCUGAACUAAACAGUGUUUCUUCUGUUACGUUUCUUAAAUAUUUAUAGAAUUU